rnacentral:rRNA from 1 species
UACGAAGGGGGCUAGCGUUGCUCGGAAUCACUGGGCGUAAAGGGCGCGUAGGCGGCCAUUCAAGUCAGAGGUGAAAGCCCAAGGCUCAACCUUGGAACUGCUUUUGAUACUGUUUGGCUUGAGACCGGUAGAGGUAAGUGGAACUGCGAGUGUAGAGGUGAAAUUCGUAGAUAUUCGCAAGAACACCAGUGGCGAAGGCGGCUUACUGGACCGGUUCUGACGCUGAUGCGCGAAAGCGUGGGUAGCAAACAGG